CCUACGGGAGGCAGCAGUGAGGAAUAUUGGUCAAUGUGCGCGAGCCUGAACUAGCCAAGUAGCGUGAAGGAUGACUGCCCUACGGGUUGUAAACUUCUUUUAUAAAGGAAUAAAGUUAGGCACGUGUGCCUUUUUGUAUGUACUUUAUGAAUAAGGAUCGGCUAACUCCGUGCCAGCAGCCGCGGUAAUACGGAGGAUCCGAGCGUUAUCCGGAUUUAUUGGGUUUAAAGGGAGCGUAGAUGGGUUGUUAAGUCAGUUGUGAAAGUUUGCGGCUCAACCGGAAAAUUGCAGUUGAUACUGGCAGCCUUGAGUACACUGGAGGUAGGCGGAAUUCGGGGUGUAGCGGUGAAAUGCUUAGAUAUCACGAAGAACUCCGAUUGCGAAGGCAGCCUACUAAACUGCCACUGACAUUGAUGCUCGAAAGUGUGGGUAUCAAACAGGAUUAGAUACCCUUGUAGUC
rnacentral:rRNA from 1 species